rnacentral:rRNA from 1 species
UAGCAAUACAUCAGUGGCGAAAGGGUGCGUAACACGUGGGCAAUCUGCCGUGAAGUGGGGGGUAGCUCGCCGAAAGGCGAAUUAAUACCGCAUGUGGUGAGGUAAGACAUCUUACCGAAACUAAAGUCGGGGCAACCUGACGCUUCAUGAUGAGCCCGCGGCCUAUCAGCUAGUUGGUGAGGUAACGGCUCACCAAGGCAAUGACGGGUAGCUGGUCUGAGAGGACGACCAGCCACACUGGAACUGAGACACGGUCCAGACACCUACGGGUGGCAGCAGUCGAGAAUUUUUCUCAAUGGGCGAAAGCCUGAAGGAGCGACGCCGCGUGGAGGAUGAAGGGCUUCGGCUUGUAAACUCCUGUCAUUGGGGAACAAUGUUGUGGGUAGUAACUGAUCUGCAAUUGAUAGUACCCGAAGAGGAAGAGACGGCUAACUCUGUGCCAGCAGCCGCGGUAAUACAGAGGUCUCAAGCGUUGUUCGGAUUCAUUGGGCGUAAAGGGUGCGUAGGCGGUAGUGUAAGUCGGAUGUGAAAUCCCGGGGCUCAACCCCGGAACUGCAUUCGAUACUGCAUUGCUUGAGGACUGGAGAGGAGAUUGGAAUUCACGGUGUAGCA